rnacentral:rRNA from 1 species
GAUGAACGCUGGCGGCGUGCCUAAUACAUGCAAGUCGAGCGAACGGACGAGAAGCUUGCUUCUCUGAUGUUAGCGGCGGACGGGUGAGUAACACGUGGAUAACCUACCUAUAAGACUGGGAUAACUUCGGGAAACCGUAGCUAAUACCGGAUAAUAUUUUGAACCGCAUGGUUCAAAAGCGAAAGACGGUCUUGCUGUCACUUAUAGAUGGAUCCGCGCUGCAUUAGCUAGUUGGUAAGGUAACGGCUUACCAAGGCAACGAUGCAUAGCCGACCUGAGAGGGUGAUCGGCCACACUGGAACUGAGACACGGUCCAGACUCCUACGGGAGGCAGCAGUAGGGAAUCUUCCGCAAUGGGCGAAAGCCUGACGGAGCAACGCCGCGUGAGUGAUGAAGGUCCUCGGAUCGUAAAACUCUGUUAUUAGGGAAGAACAUAUGUGUAAGUAACUGUGCACAUCUUGACGGUACCUAAUCAGAAAGCCACGGCUAACUACGUG